rnacentral:rRNA from 1 species
GAUGAACGCUGGCGGCGUGCCUAAUACAUGCAAGUCGAGCGAACAGAUAAGGAGCUUGCUCCUUUGAAGUUAGCGGCGGACGGGUGAGUAACACGUGGGUAACCUACCUAUAAGACUGGGAUAACUUCGGGAAACCGGAGCUAAUACCGGAUAACAUUUAGAACCGCAUGGUCCUAAAGUGAAAGAUGGUUUUGCUAUCACUUAUAGAUGGACCCGCGCCGUAUUAGCUAGUUGGUAAGGUAACGGCUUACCAAGGCGACGAUACGUAGCCGACCUGAGAGGGUGAUCGGCCACACUGGAACUGAGACACGGUCCAGACUCCUACGGGAGGCAGCAGUAGGGAAUCUUCCGCACUGGGCGAAAGCCUGACGGAGCAACGCCGCGUGAGUGAUGAAGGGUUUCGGCUCGUAAAACUCUGUUAUUAGGGAAGAACAAAUGUGUAAGUAACUGUGCACAUCUUGACGGUACCUAAUCAGAAAGCCACGGCUAACUACGUGCCAGCAGCCGCGGUAAUACGUAGGUGGCAAGCGUUAUCCGGAAUUAUUGGGCGUAAAGCGCGCGUAGGCGGUUUCUUAAGUCUGAUGUGAAAGCCCACGGCUCAACCGUGGAGGGUCAUUGGAAACUGGGAAACUUGAGUGCAGAAGAGGAAAGUGGAAUUCCAUGUGUAGCGGUGAAAUGCGCAGAGAUAUGGAGGAACACCAGUGGCGAAGGCGACUUUCUGGUCUGUAACUGACGCUGAUGUGCGAAAGCGUGGGGAUCAAACAGGAUUAGAUACCCUGGUAGUCCACGCCGUAAACGAUGAGUGCUAAGUGUUAGGGGGUUUCCGCCCCUUAGUGCUGCAGCUAACGCAUUAAGCACUCCGCCUGGGGAGUACGACCGCAAGGUUGAAACUCAAAGGAAUUGACGGGGACCCGCACAAGCGGUGGAGCAUGUGGUUUAAUUCGAAGCAACGCGAAGAACCUUACCAAAUCUUGACAUCCUUUGAAAACUCUAGAGAUAGAGCCUUCCCCUUCGGGGGACAAAGUGACAGGUGGUGCAUGGUUGUCGUCAGCUCGUGUCGUGAGAUGUUGGGUUAAGUCCCGCAACGAGCGCAACCCUUAAGUUUAGUUGCCAUCAUUAAGUUGGGCACUCUAGGUCGACUGCCGGUGACAAACCGGAGGAAGGUGGGGAUGACGUCAAAUCAUCAUGCCCCUUAUGAUUUGGGCUACGCACGUGCUACAAUGGACAAUACAAAGGGCAGCUAAACCGCGAGGUCAUGCAAAUCCCAUAAAGUUGUUCUCAGUUCGGAUUGUAGUCUGCAACUCGACUACAUGAAGCUGGAAUCGCUAGUAAUCGUAGAUCAGCAUGCUACGGUGAAUACGUUCCCGGGUCU